rnacentral:rRNA from 1 species
UGGGGAAUAUUGCACAAUGGACGGAAGUUUGAUGCAGCGACGCCGCGGGGAGGGUGUAGGCCUUCGGGUUGUGAACUCCUUUUUCUCGCGAAAAAGGCACAGUGUUGGCUGGGUUGAUGGUAGUGGGGGAAGAAGCGCCGGCUAACCACGUGCCAGCAGCCGCGGUAAUACGUAGGGCGCGAGCGUUGUCCGGAUUUAUUGGGCGUAAAGAGCUCGUAGGUGGUUCGUCGCGUCUGUCGUGAAAGCCAGCAGCUUAACUGUUGGUCUGCGGUGGGUACGGGCGGGCUUGAGUGCGGUAGGGGUGACUGGAAUUCCUGGUGUAGCGGUGGAAUGCGCAGAUAUCAGGAGGAACACCGAUGGCGAAGGCAGGUCACUGGGCCGUUACUGACACUGAGGGGCGAAAGCGUGGGGAGCGAACAGG